rnacentral:rRNA from 1 species
AUUGAACGCUGGCGGCAGGCCUAACACAUGCAAGUCGAGCGGUAGCACAGAGAGCUUGCUCUCGGGUGACGAGCGGCGGACGGGUGAGUAAUGUCUGGGAAACUGCCUGAUGGAGGGGGAUAACUACUGGAAACGGUAGCUAAUACCGCAUAACGUCGCAAGACCAAAGUGGGGGACCUUCGGGCCUCAUGCCAUCAGAUGUGCCCAGAUGGGAUUAGCUAGUAGGUGGGGUAACGGCUCACCUAGGCGACGAUCCCUAGCUGGUCUGAGAGGAUGACCAGCCACACUGGAACUGAGACACGGUCCAGACUCCUACGGGAGGCAGCAGUGGGGAAUAUUGCACAAUGGGCGCAAGCCUGAUGCAGCCAUGCCGCGUGUGUGAAGAAGGCCUUCGGGUUGUAAAGCACUUUCAGCGGGGAAGAAGGCGGUGAGGUUAAUAACCUUGUCGAUUGACGUUACCCGCAGAAGAAGCACCGGCUAACUCCGUGCCAGCAGCCGCGGUAAUACGGAGGGUGCAAGCGUUAAUCGGAAUUACUGGGCGUAAAGCGCACGCAGGCGGUCUGUCAAGUCGGAUGUGAAAUCCCCGGGCUCAACCUGGGAACUGCAUUCGAAACUGGCAGGCUAGAGUCUUGUAGAGGGGGGUAGAAUUCCAGGUGUAGCGGUGAAAUGCGUAGAGAUCUGGAGGAAUACCGGUGGCGAAGGCGGCCCCCUGGACAAAGACUGACGCUCAGGUGCGAAAGCGUGGGGAGCAAACAGGAUUAGAUACCCUGGUAGUCCACGCCGUAAACGAUGUCGAUUUGGAGGUUGUGCCCUUGAGGCGUGGCUUCCGGAGCUAACGCGUUAAAUCGACCGCCUGGGGAGUACGGCCGCAAGGUUAAAACUCAAAUGAAUUGACGGGGGCCCGCACAAGCGGUGGAGCAUGUGGUUUAAUUCGAUGCAACGCGAAGAACCUUACCUGGCCUUGACAUCCACAGAACUUUCCAGAGAUGGAUUGGUGCCUUCGGGAACUGUGAGACAGGUGCUGCAUGGCUGUCGUCAGCUCGUGUUGUGAAAUGUUGGGUUAAGUCCCGCAACGAGCGCAACCCUUAUCCUUUGUUGCCAGCGGUUAGGCCGGGAACUCAAAGGAGACUGCCAGUGAUAAACUGGAGGAAGGUGGGGAUGACGUCAAGUCAUCAUGGCCCUUACGACCAGGGCUACACACGUGCUACAAUGGCAUAUACAAAGAGAAGCGACCUCGCGAGAGCAAGCGGACCUCAUAAAGUAUGUCGUAGUCCGGAUUGGAGUCUGCAACUCGACUCCAUGAAGUCGGAAUCGCUAGUAAUCGUAGAUCAGAAUGCUACGGUGAAUACGUUCCCGGGCC